GGCUGGUCCAAGGUCGAGAGUUAUCUCAAUUGAUUGAUCACAACCAGUUGCAGAUUUCUUUGUUCCUUCUCCACUCCCACUACUUUACUUGAACAGCCAUCC
rnacentral:Y_RNA from 1 species